rnacentral:rRNA from 1 species
AACGAACGCUGGCGGCAGGCUUAACACAUGCAAGUCGAACGCCCCGCAAGGGGAGUGGCAGACGGGUGAGUAACGCGUGGGAACGUACCUUUCAGUUCGGAAUAACUCAGGGAAACUUGUGCUAAUACCGGAUGCGCCCGCAAGGGGAAAGAUUUAUCGCUGAAAGAUCGGCCCGCGUUGGAUUAGCUAGUUGGUGGGGUAAAGGCCUACCAAGGCGACGAUCCAUAGCUGGUCUGAGAGGAUGAUCAGCCACACUGGGACUGAGACACGGCCCAGACUCCUACGGGAGGCAGCAGUGGGGAAUAUUGGACAAUGGGCGCAAGCCUGAUCCAGCCAUGCCGCGUGUGUGAUGAAGGCCUUAGGGUUGUAAAGCACUUUCACCGAUGAAGAUAAUGACGGUAGUCGGAGAAGAAGCCCCGGCUAAACUUCGUG